GCCAAAGAGGCUUCUCCCUGGGUACUUUAAAUUGAAGACAACAGAGGGGGCUCAUCAGACAAACAGCAACAACGCAAGGUUCUUCUCUGGCAACUUUACAGCAUUGGAUGCUCCCUUCCCCCAUCCGACAGCGGCACCUGCUUCCAGACACCUUUGCCCACAGCUGCAGGGAGAGAUAUGGAGCUGGGAUGACCUUCUGAAGUUGUUCUGAGUGGAGAAGAGUGGCCUGGGUCUUUACAUCACCAUGUUGGAUGCAAGCUAAGCCUGAAAAGACAGAGUCUUGCGCCUGGACUAGAAGGCAAUGGCACGGCCUCAGCUCACUGUAACCUCCACCUCCUGAGUUCAAGCAAUUCUCCUGCCUCUGCUCCUGAGUAGCUAGGACUACAGGCCAGUGCUACCAAGCCCAGCUAAUUUUUUUUUUUUUUUUGUAUUUAGAAGUGAUUUUUGUUUGUUUGUUUGUUUGUUUUGUAUUUUUAGAAGUGAUACUCCUGCCUCAGCCUCCCAAAUAGCUGGGACUACAGGCCAGUGCUACCAAGCCCAGCUAACUUUUUUUUUUUUUGUAUUUUUAGUAGAGACUGGGUUUCACUAUGUUGGCCAGGCUGAUCUCAAACCCCUGACUUCAUGAUCUGCCAGCCUUGGCCUCCCAAAGUGCUGGGAUUACAGAUGUGAGCCACCGCAUCCGGCCUCAGAUUGUUUUCUUAGCGCCCUGAAUAAACCUGUCAUCCAUAGGUAGUGCUCUAAGCUCCAGCACUAUCCUUUCCCUUUUACACCCAGUGACAUUCCUCAAAGCGCACACAACCCAGCACAGCUGGAGGUAAAUAAUCUGAUAAAAGGAUUCAUAUAUUUGAAUGUUUAUAAAAAUUACUCCAGGACUUUGCAACUUAAAAAUUAGUAUUUGGAGAUGACAUGAUUUCAGAUAAAGUAACACAUUCCUAGUAAAAUGUUAGUGCAGCAGACCACUUGGGGACCAAUUGAAAAGUCUGAGUUCUUGUGACAUAUAUAUAUUUUUUAACAUCCUGCCUUUCAGCUUUGAAAAGUAAUGUCAAAUAUGGCAAGAGGGGAAAGAUCUCUGAUGAGGAUGAGUGAGGGGAAAAAUCUUUAUGACGGUCUAUGAACUUGGAAGUUUGAAAAUUUUUACUUCACUUUGAAUGACUUCUUCACUAAAUAGAUUUGAACUGAAAAAGCAAAAGCAGAAAGGAAAAAAAUUAAUCUCACUUCAGAGGAAGACAUUGAUGAUAGCCUUCCUCUUAAAAUAAUGUGAUUAUUUUCUGUUUGGCCACCACAAAGUACAUUUUAAAAAAUAGUUAAAGAUAGAAUUUUGGCAUGAUUUUAUAAAGCUUGAGCCAGAUUAUCUUAUUUUAUUUGGAUCCCUGGUUUAUCUCAAGGGUUGGAAUUUAGAACCAGCCCAUUUGUGAAACUUUCUAAUUAUCUUCAGAGCCUGAACUAAACCCUAUACAUCUUUACAGAAACCUCUUAUCCCAGAAUCUUGUCAUUUUGUGAAGAAAUGGUUACCUUCAAGAAAAAAUAUGUAGAACAUAAUUAUAGUCAAAUAGUCUACCUAAGAAGAUUCGCAGUGUUAACUCUGAUAUUUGACAUGUUAAUACAUUUCAUUGUCACAAACGCAAUUUACUAUUAAUGAAAUAAGUCAUGAGAUACUAUACAAUAUAU